GGGCGCAGUGGCGCGCGCCUGUAGUCCCAGCUACUCGGGAGGCAGGAGGACCACUUGAGCCCAGGAGUUCUGGGCUGUAGUGCACUAUGCCGAUCAGAUGUCCACACUAAGUUUGGAAUCAAUAUGGUGACCUCCCAGAAGCAGGGGUCCACCAGGUUGCCUAUGGAGGGGUGAACCGGCCCAGGCUGGAAACGGAGCAGAUCAAACUCAUGACCCAGAGAUCAACAAGAGUCAUAAGCUCUUCCACCUGAGCCAGCCAGGUACCCCUUGCCUG
ensembl:misc_RNA Metazoa_SRP Metazoan signal recognition particle RNA